UACAGAGGGUGCAAGCGUUUAAUCGGAAUUACUGGGCGUAAAGCGUGCGUAGUCGGUUAUUUAAGUCGGAUGUGAAAUCCCCGGGCUCAACCUGGGAAUUGCAUUCGAUACUGGAUAGCUAGAGUUCGGCAGAGGGAAGCGGAAUUUCUGGUGUAGCGGUGAAAUGCGUAGAUAUCAGAAGGAACAUCAGUGGCGAAGGCGGCUCUCUGGACCGAGACUGACGCUGAGGCGCGAAAGCGUGGGGAGCAAACAGG
rnacentral:rRNA from 1 species